rnacentral:lncRNA from 1 species
UACAUGCUCCUCCUCGUCCCCCUCCCUCUCAUCAAUAAUAAUCUCAUUUGAAGAGAAAUUUGAGCGUAAUUUCAGUUGUUAUGGUUGUGGAUGAUUAGGAAGAGCAAAUGUCACUGUUAAUGUCAUGGAUCUUGUAACAAUACUAGUAAUAUAAGGAUGAAGAGCCGCUCUUCUUGUUGGCAAUCGAGAAAUACCGUUAUCAUCAAUGUUGUUCUUGUUUGCUUCCACCAUGAAGAGGGAGAGAAUUUUACCUAUUUCCACUGCAGC